GGAGACACGUGGAAUAUAUUGCACGUCGUGGGACCUACCAUGACGAACACAUACUUGAGCGCUU
rnacentral:rRNA from 1 species